CCUACGGGAGACAGCAGUGAGGACUAUUGGUCAAUGGACGAGAGUCUGAACCAGCCAAGUAGCGUGAAGGAUGACUGCCCUAUGGGUUGUAAACUUCUUUUAUAAAGGAAUAAAACGAGGCACGUGUGCCUUUUUGCAUGUACUUUAUGAAUAAGGAUCGGCUAACUCCGUGCCAGCAGCCGCGGUAAUACGGAGGAUCCGAGCGUUAUCCGGAUUUCUUGGGUUUAAAGGGAGCGUAGAUGGGUUGUUAAGUCAGUUGUGAAAGUUUGCGGCUCAACCGUAAAAUUGCAAUUGAUACUGGCAGUCUUGAGUACAGUAGAGGUAGGCGGAAUUCGUGGUGUAGCGGUGAAAUGCUUAGAUAUCACGAAGAACCCCGAUUGCGAAGGCAGCUUACUAAACUGUGACUGACAUUGAUGCUCGAAAGUGUGGGUAUCAAACAGGAUUAGAUACCCCAGUAGUC
rnacentral:rRNA from 1 species